rnacentral:rRNA from 1 species
AUACGUAGGGAGCGAGCGUUGUCCGGAAUUACUGGGCGUAAAGGGCGCGUAGGCGGCGCUUCAAGUCGUCUGUCAAAUGGGAGGGCUUAACCCUUUUUCGCAGACGAAACUGGAGAGCUUGAGAAGCAGAGAGGCAAACAGAAUUCCUGGUGUAGCGGUGAAAUGCGUAGAUAUCAGGAAGAAUACCAGUGGCGAAGGCGGUUUGCUGGCUGCAUACUGACGCUGAAGCGCGAAAGCCAGGGGAGCAAACAGGAUUAGAUACCCCGGUAGUCCUGGCAGUAAACGAUGUAUGCUGGGUGUGAGACUAGCGAUAGUUUCGUGCCGAAGUUAACGCGAUAAGCAUACCGCCUGGGGAGUACGGUCGCAAGAUUGAAACUUAAAGGAAUUGACGGGG